CUUUACAGUAGUUCAUCAUCGGGUGUAAGGAUGGUGUUACAUCUAGAGAAAAUAUUGAGACUAUGAAUAGUUCCGUAGCAAAAUUCCGACAAAUGUCGUUCGCAGUUGUUUUUCUGCUCACACGUGUCAAACAUAUGAAAUGCCGUACAUUAAGUGAAAGCUGAAAUUUGUGCCGACAUUUUAAGAAAGUAUUCAUCGAAAUCCGUGACGUAUACGAAGUUUAAUUAUAUUUCGAACGUGGAAGGAAAAAACGUGUAUUUUCGGUGCAUUUCGCAUUUUUAUUUCCGAAAAGGCAAAAACGCGUCGCAAACUUACAAAAAGAUAUGCGCCGUGUACGAAGAGAAUGUCGUAAGCGAAAGUGUGUGUCGGAAGUGGUUUGCGAAAUUACGUUGCGGAGAUUUUAAUCUCCAAGAUGCUUCUCGCUCUGGUCGGCCAGUCACUACUAAUGUCGAUCAAGGCUUUAAUCGACUCCGACCGGUAUUUGACGACUACAGAGAUGAACAUAACCUCAACAUUGACCAAUCAACUGUUUCGAGACAUUUACGGAGGCUUGGGAUGCUUGCGAUUCGCUGCUCAAACGCCAUCAAAACGAACCAUUUUUAAAGCGGAUGAUCACUGGCGAUGAAAAGUGGAUUGUCUACAACAAUAUCAGUCGAAAAAGAUCAUGGUCAAAGUGCGGGGUCAAAGUGCAACUGCUCAGACGGUCGCAAAGGCUGGAUUACAUUCGAAGAAAGUCAUGCUCAAUAUCUGGUGGGAUUGGAAAGGAAUCGUCUAUUAUGAGCUGCUACCACCCAACAAAACGAUUGAUUCGACCAAGUACUGCUCACAACUGGCUAAAUUAAAGCGGACGUCCUCAAAAACUACCUGGAUGACUUCUUUACCCAAAAAUCUUAGGACUUCUAUGAAAGUGGGAUAACGAAGCUCGUGGAAAGGUGGCAGAAAGUUAUUGAACAGAAUGGAACAUAUUUAUUUGAUUAAAAUCGCUUUUUUUGCUAAAUAUUUUGCGUUUAAAAUUUACUCGAUUUUCGCUACGGAAUUAUGCAUAGACUCAAUUAAGGACUCUAGAAAUUCACAUCCAAUAAACUUGUACAAUGUAUCCUUAAUGAGCGAACAUCGAUGUCUAUCAAACAUCGAUCAUCCCUACUGCUAUAUACUUUACGCCUAUUGUAGAGACGGCCCUUUUGAACUCACUUUUAUUGAUAAAAGUGCUCCUGAAAGUAGCUUAAAAGGCACCUGAUUGGCUGAAAAGUCACAUUUAAGACACUCCUAUCGAUAAAAGUAAGUUCAGAAUAUUGGCAAUAUGUGCAGGUUUGUUUUUUAUAAUCGAAAUUAUUAACAGAAACGAUAAAGUGACAAACCUAAUGUUUGUCAAUUUGAUUUUUAUUAAUAUUAAAAAUUUCCGAAAUGUGUAAAUACGUUUAGAUAGUAUAAUACUCGAUAAAAAAGAAAAACGAGAUGUCGUAUAAAAAACGAUCAGAAUUAAAUUCCAACAUAUAACGUAUCGCAUAAUAUUACAUCAUUAUAAUCUAAUUAAUCUUAACCACGAAAGCGUACAUUUGACGAAAGGCAAAAAAAGCUUGGCCCAUGAGGGGAUCGAACCCGCGACCUUCGCGUUAUUAGCACGACGCUCUAACCAACUGAGCUAAUAGGCCAGUCGGUGAGAGUGUUUGAACAAUUGAAUCAUGACGUACAGAGAUUAGGAAAAUAUAUAAUUAUAAUAUUACGAAUAAAAUACGAUAAUGUAUGUACGGAACGUUGCAUCAAUGUGUUCGAAAAAUACAACGUUUGUGCAAGUGUUGAAUGAUUAUCACCUUUCAUCGAAGUAAUUUUUUGGAUCCAUAAUAAAUCUAAAGGACAUAAAAUA